AGCUCUGGGUGUUAUGCUAUUUGUUGGCAAAUCGAACUCCAAUAAAAAAAUAUACCCCCCCCCCAAAAAAAAAAGAAUCAGAGGCAGGGUCAGCCUGGGUACUCCUGAGGGUAAACCAGGGCGGGUGUCCAGCAGAGAUUGCCCAUGAUGUCAGCUAAUGCAUGCUUAGUGUUGUAGUCACAGCUUUCAUGGUACUCCUAGGCCGGAAGAAAUUCACAAUACUUCUGUUUAUUAACUAGCUAGGUCCAAAGUACUUAUAAGUAUGUGCACCCUAACAAUUUAGGAACCAUUUGAAAAAAAGAGUACACAUAAAUGGAAAGAAACCAUAUUUAAUUUCAUUCUUAACUACAGUCAUGUAUAGAGAAAUAAAUGCCCCUGUUUGCACAGCUUCUUCAACCUCAACAUCGGAUUGGACACUGCCACCCUUUGUUCCACCUUGAUUUUGAUGCAGUACUUGGUUUUGAUCACAUCAACUGUCAAAACCAACUUUGCAAAAAUAUGAUGUUAUUAAAGGGGGAAAAAAAAAACAAAAAACAAAACAAACCCCCCAAAAGUGGAGAACAAGUCAGUAUCCUUAAUACUUGCUCUUUGAACACUGUAAAAGAGUAUUUUAAGACAUUACAUUCAUUUAUUGAUAUAUUUACGUCAGACAUUUUUCUUAAAAAUUUGUGGGAUAGUUAUAAUAGCUUUCAACCCUUUUUGUCCUUCCAUUCUUUAUCUUUCCUAGGUAGGGUAUAGUUUCCAUGUCCUUUCAUUAUUUUCCUCUUUCCUGACUCUUGUUAGCUCAGUUUUUUAAAAAAACAAAGAUCUAAGUUAGGUCUAAUGCUGUAGGAAUUAUGAGACCAAAACAGAUGGCAAUAGAAACAAGAUUCUCUGGCCUUUGAAAGCAAUCAAUUUUUCAUAGUUGCAUUUCUUUGUGCAGAGCUAUACCUGUUGAGUCCUUUUCCUUGGUGCAAAGAUGGUGCUAUUUUUUUUUUAAACAUAAUUCCCCAUGAACUUUAUCUUUUUCUUUUUCCCUUUGAAGCAUUCAUCUAACUCAUCCAAGUGACUGAAUUCUGCAUCUCUCUUCCAAGAUGUUAGCUCCCCUGCCUCGCUUGACAGCAUACACCAAACUACAUGGGUGUAUCCUUCAAUCCUUCUUCCAGGUCAAUGACAAAGAAAUGAAACCAUGCUAUUUGUGGGGCUGGCCCCUGGCAGGCACCACUGACCAUGUUCUCUGGGGAGUGAUAACUCAACUUUGGAUACAGAGGUAUAUGGUUUCUAGCCAACUGCAGCCCCAUGGAACCUGCCAUCAGCAAAUCAGAUGCUUAUUUUCAGGAGCAUGAGAACCAGAGCUGGAACAGUAGUUCUGUCCUGGAAGAAAAAGACCUCUCACUGAAGAAAUAGUGAGUAUCUUAGUCCUUUUAGACAGCCUAGAUCCUUACUGUGCCUCAGCCUUGUCCACCAAUUAAAGAAGUUAGAUGGCUUUACACUAAAGCUCUACAUGGUACUAAAACUCCCCAAUUCCCAUCGAAAACUGACCUAUUCUGCCAAAGAAGGCAGAUGAUGGUCAACAGGCACAUGGAAAUUUGCUCAACAUCAGUAAUCAUCAGGAAAUGCCGAUCAAAGCCCCAAUGAGAUAUCACGUGGUAAUAGCAUUCCAGCCCAUCUGAAGGGUUAACCUGUUCAAGGUAACACACUCCUUGGUUGCUGACAAUGCCUUGAUCUGUAACAGAACUAAUUUACUUUCUUUGAGAUUUGGGGAAUGAAGGACCAGAAUGUCCCCAGGCCACAGAGGUCAGCAAGUCUAUUGGAAGCCGUCACAGCUUUCUGAUCACCAGCAAUCUGUUAGCAAAAAUGUUUUUCUUUUUUAAGGUCACAACAAAUGACUCUAUUGACCUCCCUUUGUGCAUCUCUAGACCUUGCCCUCCUUUGCAGGAAAAACAGAGGACUCUUGCAUAAUCUCCCGUACCAAGGAACUAGACCUCCUUGCACAACUCCCCACUCCCCUGAGCACCAAGGAACUAGGACUUCUUGUACAACCUCCAAGCACCAAGAUAACUCUGUAGUUGGCAUCAUCAGUCUACAUGUUCGUCAAGAAAUGUCACAGACCACUGCACUCCCUUAACCCAUUAAGCCCCUUUAAGAAUUCCUGGGCCAGGCAGAAACCUUGGAGUUGGCUUUUGGACAGGAGUCCGCUUUCUCUCCAGAUGCCCAGCCUCCCAAAUAAAGCUCAUAUUCCUUUCCAGUAGAAACUCAUCUCCUGAGUAUUGGCCUUCCGAGCGACUGGCAACCAAACUUGGGUUCAGUAACAGUCUCACUCCUGCCAGGAUGGCUAUUAUUUGAAAAACAAAAGUUAAAUGUUGACCAGGGCAUGGAAAAAUUGGAACUCUUGCACACUGCUGGUGGGAAUGUAAGUUGGUACAGCCAUUAUGGCAAUAGUAUGGAGGUUCUUCAAAAAUUAAAAACAGAACCCCUGUCUGAUCUAGUAAUCCUGCUUGGGGGCUGCUUAUCCAAAGGAAUUGAUCAGGAUCUCGAAGAGACACCUACCCUCCCAAUGUUCACUGCAGUGGUAUUCCCAGUAGCCAAGAUAUGGAAACGACCCAAAUGUCCAUUGACAGAUGCAUGGGUAAAGAGGUGGGAGAUAUUCAGUCUGAGAAAAGAUGGGGAUCUUGCUAUUGGUGACAACCUGGAUAGACCUGGAGGACAUGAUGCUAAGUGAAAUAAGCCAGACAUAGAAAGACAAGAACUGUAGGAUCUUACUUUCAUGUGGAAUCAGAAAAGACCAAACUUAAAGAAGCAGAGAGUAGAGUGGUGGUGACCCAGACUGGGGUGAGGGCUAAGUGGGAGAUGUUGUCAAGGGAUACAGAGUUUCAGAUCUGCAGCAGGACCACCUCCUGGAAAUGUAAGGUGCAGUGUGGUGACUGUACGUUACGUAGCACUCUGUGUACUUGAAGAUUGCUGAGACGGUGGACCCUAAGUGUUCUCCCAGUGCAUGCACACACAUGGGCACACCCACACAUGGACACACAUGGUAACUAUGUGCGGUGUUGGAUGUGUUAAUUAGGUUGGUUGUAGUGUUUACUUCACUGUGUAUACAUAAGUUAAAUAAAAUUGUAUAUGUUAAAUUUAUUCAAAAGAACAAAGAAAAAGGAAAUGGACCUAGGCUACAAACAUCACUGUCUCCUCAGAGGCCUGUGUCUUCCGUCUUCGCCCUCUUGCCCAGACAUUGGAAAAGCCAGAACCAUUUUUCUUCCAUCUGAAUCAAGAGCGUGGAAGUAUUCCAGCUGAGCUAACCUGUGACUUUCCACUUGCAAAAUCCAAUGAAUAGUUUCCAUUCCUUGUCUUGCAGGACAGACUUCCUUUGUACCCUGGUGAUCUUCCCAAGCCUCCUGGGCCAUUUGCUCCUGUCUCUGUCACCCCCUCUUCUGCUCCUUCUUCAAACGUUGGUGUGUCACUGGCUUUUGUCUGCCACUUAUCUCUAGUCUCCUGCUGCUUUUCCUCCCUAGAUGAUCUAUUUACCAUCAUCACUUUAACAGGUACCUAAAUAAAUGUUAAUGGUAUUUUCUGACUAUGUCCCUGAUCACCCUCCAAGCAUUGGAUGCAUUUCAAACAGUCUCAAAGCAUCUUUCCCCACAGGAAACUGAAGUACAAAGUAUCUAAUGCUGCAUCACCUUGUCUUCAAAAUGGUUUCUCCUCCUGCUGUAAUCCAGCUUCAUUUGAUGACCCUGUCCUAUGCCUUGCCAAGGCUGGAAACCCAGGGAUCAUGCCAGAUUCUUUUCUGUCCCCCACACCCCAUAACUAGUCAGUUUCUAAACAUUUCUACAUAGCCCCCCAAAUCUCAUGCAAUUCCACUCCUGCUCUUCAUUCCUGUGUGGCCAGGUGCUUGCCCCCAUGCCUGGAGCCCUUUCUUACCCUUCCUGCCAGUCUUCUGCCUCCAGCCAGCCUCCACUGGGGGCUGUUCUCCACCCUGUCACUGGGGGCUGUUCUCCACCCUGUCACUACAGAGGUCUGAAACACAUGAUCAGGUUCUACUUGUUCUUAAAAAUCUUUCCAUGGUUUCCCAUCCUCUUCCACAGUUGAUUUAAAAAUAUUUGGGAGUCACAUAUGUCUUUGAAAUGUUUAUUUAAAAUAUACACAGUCAUUUGAAGCCAAUCAGAAGGUUUCUGGUACUCUUUCUGGACCACUGGCUAGAGGUUCUUUCUGUCUCUUUUAAUAAAGAGCCACAGUGAUGAGAUCAGCUUCCUUUGGAGUUGUCAGCAGUGGGGCCAGGUAAAAGGAGAUUUUGCAUUUUCAUGUCUUCCGAUCUUUCUUUAGUUGGGCUGCACUUGCUUUGCUGUAUUAUUCAUGAUAAGUCACUGAGGUAGAAACUUGGGUGAAUUUAUGAAUGCUGGGAGAGGAGCCCUCAAAAGGGUGAUGCCAAGCUUUCAUUUGCAAGCAACUUACUAUCCUAGACGAUUUUGUUUCAACAUUAUUCUUAGCAAUGAACAAGAAAGGUUAAUAAAGAACAUGUAAUCAUAA